rnacentral:rRNA from 1 species
GACGAACGCUGGCGGCGUGCUUAACACAUGCAAGUCGAACGAUGAACCCGGAGCUUGCUCCGGCGGAUUAGUGGCGAACGGGUGAGUAACACGUGAGUAACCUGCCCUUGACUCUGGGAUAACUGCGGGAAACUGUAGCUAAUACCGGAUACGACCCUCGGCGGCAUCGCCAGGGGGUGGGAAGAAUUUCGGUCAAGGAUGGACUCGCGGCCUAUCAGCUAGGUGGUGAGGUAACGGCUCACCAAGGCGACGACGGGUAGACGGCUUGAGAGGGUGACCGGCCACACUGGGACUGAGACACGGCCCAGACUCCUACGGGAGGCAGCAGUGGGGAAUAUUGCACAAUGGGCGCAAGCCUGAUGCAGCAACGCCGCGUGAGGGAUGACGGCCUUCGGGUUGUAAACCUCUUUUAGUAGGGAAGAAGCGAAAGUGACGGUACCUGCAGAAAAAGCACCGGCUAACUACGUGCCAGCCGCCGCGGUAA